rnacentral:rRNA from 1 species
UACGUAGGGGGGCAAGCGUUGUCCGGAAUCAUUGGGCGUAAAGAGCGUGUAGGCGGCUCGGUAAGUCUGCUGUGAAAGUCCAGGGCUCAACCCUGGAAUGCCGGUGGAAACUGUCGAGCUAGAGUCCGGAAGAGGCGAGUGGAAUUCCUGGUGUAGCGGUGAAAUGCGCAGAUAUCAGGAGGAACACCGGUGGCGAAGGCGGGUCUCUGGGCCGGAACUGACGCUAAGGAGCGAAAAGCGUGGGGAGCGAACAGG